rnacentral:lncRNA from 1 species
UCGCGGACUUCGUGACCUAGCCUCUCCCAUGGAAACUGCAACUCAUGCAGCUUCCCUUGUUCGAUGCAAGGUCAAGAUCAGGGGUAGGGCCUUAAGUGGUUAUGCCAUGAGCUGAGCGAGAAGGCAGAUAUAAUUGGGCGGUAGAGCAAGUAGUCACAUCACUAGCCGGUCCCGGGAUCAAGGGUAGGAAGACACGAGCGACAGACUUGCACUCGGCUUGCCGAUUACAAGUCCCCGUAACCGAACGUACAAACGCUCACCUUAGGUCUGAGGGCACACGGAAGGACUCGGUCAUUUCAACCGUGACAGUGAAAGUGACCGGAUAGGAGUUCUUGGUUUUGCUUCGCGUCUUUCAGUGUUCAAGUACGGUGUGGGUUUGCUUUUGCGACUGGGUGAUUAAAUUCUUUUUCCCGAGUAGGUCCAAGAUAGGAACAAGUAGUGCCAGUGUGCGAACGUGUGCCGUGUGCUUUAAGAAGGAGAACCCCAGUCGUUCGGCGGCCCUCUUACUCCCCGAUAGAACUGGUGCGUCGGCACCCGCACUGCUGGUGUUCCAGCAUCCCCGUCCGUGCCCGCAGGAUCCACUUUCCAUCGUCCCGGUUGAAAAACCCCCCCGGUAGGACGCCGUCCGGAAGAGGGCUGCGCACGUUACCAUCGCGCCCUGAACACGCCCAUCCACCACGCGCGUGACCAACGUACACCCAUUUGCGUGUCGGCCAGCUAACCCCGCCGAGAGCGCCGUGAGCAGGACGCCCACCUGGCGUCGACCUUCAUCGGAGAGCGCGUGAACUAAGUUCAUCGCGCCACGCGGAUAGAUAUCGAGUUGCCGCCGGAAGCCGGCAGGCACGACGCUGAGGCGUCUCGAGAGAAGCAGCACACCGAGUCGAGAGAAGAGCAGCAUUGAGCGUCAGGAGCAUCGCCGAGCGUCGCAGAGCAUCCCGGGAGUUCACCGAUCGUCGCACCACGUGCGGUCCCCGUUCCUGUGAGAGAGGUUAGGUUGCAAACCGCCUAACCAAGCAGUGAGUACAACUCCCCCCUUUGAGACUAUCUCCAUGCGCAUGUGAAUUUGGGGUUUAGCGAAGACACGCACCACUAAGAGCUCGGCCGAGCCAAGAAACGAACGAAAAACGCACACGUAGGGAAAAUCCAGCUAGCUAUGUUUCGGGAACAUUCAGAUUAGAGGCCUCAACUAUAACUAUGCUAAUCCUAGGUUAAUUUGUAGUUUACGAUCGUACCGCUGUAAUAAAGUCAUGCUUUGCAGUACCGUGUUUCCUCUAAACAUGAAGUAGUUCGUUCUUUAAGCGA